rnacentral:tRNA from 1 species
AUUGCUUUGGCAGAUAAGUGCAAUAAAUUUAGAAUUUAUGAAUGUAUGUACAAUACAGGUAAUA